rnacentral:lncRNA from 1 species
UGAAAUAUUAUUACCCUUUUUUGAACCUUAGCCUUAAACAGUAUGUGAACCCUUGUUUUGAAGUUUUCUUUUACCUUGAGUUGGGAUGAGCUUAAUUAUAUGUGAUGAAAAGGUUCAAGUUUGGGGUUGUACGGGGGAAAAUUGAAAAAGCAAGUGAAAGGCAUUGAGCUCAAUUGUUGUAAAAAGAAAAAUUCAUGAGAAAAAGAAAAGAAAAGAAGAAAAGCAUGAAAAUGAGCUCAAUGAAAAAGAAAAAGGGAAAAAGUUGGGAAUGAGAAAUUUUGGUGAGAGAGUUGUGCGUAAAUGUUGAAUAUUUUGUUAGCUCUCUUGACUCAAGGAUUUUGCAUUCUAGAAAAACCAAUUUUUCUUGUUAGCCCAACCUCAUUACAAGCUUGGAAAAGUCCUUUUGAUGACAUUUGCAUGUAAAGAUGUUGAUUGUUUGAGAUGAAUGGCAAUUUUGUUUUAUGUGACUUGUGAACAAUAGAGAGUGGAGUGUAACCUUAAACACUUGAGUGAUUGAGUGAAACACUUGCUUGGUAUGAAUUGUUAAUUUUCAUGACUACAUUUUUGCUGAGUGGAUUGAUC